ACAGCUCACAUCUCACAGCUCAGCGGCUCUUCAGUUAUUUGUCAGUGCCAAUGACGCCAACGACAACGACGACGACGACGACGAUGCGAUGGCCAACCUGCUUUCCCCUGCUUCGGAGACUCUGGCUGGCGAGACACACCCACUCUGCGGGGCAAUUACGUGUGAUUGCUAAUUUUAACUCGGCACCCAACUGCUCAAUAAUGCGAGAGAAUACCCUAAGCUGUAAUCAAAAGGCCCAACUAUGAGUGAAACGGAAGAUGAGGUUAUCGAAGUAAUUGAGGACUCACCAUAUCGGGCAAAGGUGCAACAGCUACGUGCUUGGGCUCCCUUUGUCGGGACAUUAAUGACGAUCUUUAGGCAUAAGAUGACCGAAGAUAAGUGGUUAAACUGAAAAACCUGGAGAGCAGCGACAUGUCGUUGGCGAUGUUUGCGUGCUAUGCCGAGUCCAGGCUGACAAGAUUGGAGACUAUGAUUAACGAAGCCAAAAUCAAAUAUGACAGUUUAUAUCAUCACACGGAGUUAAUCGUGAUUGAUGACGAUUGAGUUGGCAGCCAACCAAAAAACUCAGAGUGCGUGUUGCACGUUGUGCGCUAAAGGAGUCUGAGCAAGCCAACGGACAGCCAGUGGCUGAGUUGCAAGAAGAGUCGGUGUGCAGUGUCAGUGACAUCCUAGACAUGCCACCAACUCGACCGGACGAGGAGCAGCUGCUUGUGAUCAACGAGUGCAAGCUGGAACAGAGCGAAUAUAUGCUAAGCUCUUCACAGGCUGAGCGACUUGAACGCGCCACGAUACCAAGUGGCGCCAUCUAUCGUAAUAUCAUUGCAGUUUCCUUGGCGCUAAUUUGAAAAUUGUAGUAAAUAAAAAAUGCAAUUCAUUAAAAUAUUAAAAUAAA